UUCAAAGUUGUUAGAUAUAUAAGAUAACACUAGUGAUGUUUUAAAUUUGAACCAAAUUCCUUUAAAAUUUAACAAUCACACGAUCUUAUCUGACUCUGAGAUAUUAGUAAGUACACUUGAAUAUUAAGCUUAUGCAAAAACAUUUCUAUAAAAAAAAGUUUAUACAAAUUAAAACAAAAAUUCAUCAACUAGCCCCUCCACAUUUGAUUCCAAAAAGAACUUUCUUAAACCUACCUUUUUUAUUUGUGUAGGAGACAAAAAAAGAGUUAAAGGAGAGAGGGAAACAAAUAUUUGCACCACUUCUCUCUUUAUUUAUACUUUUAUUACCAUACAAUUAUUGGUCGACCAAAUUGCAGUUGCGGUUAUGCUGCAAAUUUUUUUAUUAUGGAAAAUUGCGGUUGAAAUUACAGUUG
rnacentral:lncRNA from 1 species